ensembl:lncRNA
GGUUAAGACUAGGGUUGGGGUUGAGACUAGGGUUAGUACUGAGACUAGAGUUAGGGUUGAGACUAGGGUUAGGGUUGAGACUAGGGUUAGGGUUGAGACUAGGGUUAGGGUUGAGGUUAGGUUUGAGGUUAGGUUUGAGGUUAGGGUUGAGACUAGGGUUAGGUUUGAGACUAGGGUUAGGUUUGAGACUAGGGUUAGGUUUGAGGUUAGGGUUAAGACUAGGGUUGGGGUUGAGACUAGGGUUAGUACUGAGACUAGAGUUAGAGUUGAGACUAGGGUUAGGGUUGAGACUAGGGUUAGGCUUGAGGUUAGGUUUGAGGUUAGGGUUGAGACUAGGGUUAGGAUUGAGACUAGGGUUAGGGUUGAGACUAGGGUUAGGACUGAGAUGAGGGUUAGGGUUGAGACUAGGGUUAAGGUUGAGACUAUGGUUAGGGUUGAGACU